ACGGAAUGAGCUUCGGAAGCUGUGUGGGGCAGAGCAAGCACCAACGAUGACAAGACAACAGGCGACUACAAUCGACAGGGAGCAUACCAAACUACACUUUAUGGAGAUAGGAUGCGGAGAAUUGGUGGAAGAAAAGGA
rnacentral:rRNA from 1 species